UGCCCUGUGGUGUAAUUGGCAACACACUUGACUCUGGAUCAAGUUAGUUCAGGUUCGAAUCCUGACAGGGCAG
rnacentral:tRNA from 1 species